UAGGGAAUCUUCGGCAAUGGACGAAAGUCUGACCGAGCAACGCCGCGUGAGUGAAGAAGGUUUUCGGAUCGUAAAACUCUGUUGUUAGAGAAGAACAAGGACGUUAGUAACUGAACGUCCCCUGACGGUAUCUAACCAGAAAGCCACGGCUAACUACGUGCCAGCAGCCGCGGUAAUACGUAGGUGGCAAGCGUUGUCCGGAUUUAUUGGGCGUAAAGCGAGCGCAGGCGGUUUCUUAAGUCUGAUGUGAAAGCCCCCGGCUCAACCGGGGGGGGUCAUUGGAAACUGGGAGACUUGAGUGCAGAAGAGGAGAGUGGAAUUCCAUGUGUAGCGGUGAAAUGCGUAGAUAUAUGGAGGAACACCAGUGGCGAAGGCGGCUCUCUGGUCUGUAACUGACGCUGAGGCGCGAAAGCGUGGGGAGCAAACAGG
rnacentral:rRNA from 1 species